CCUGCCGUGUCUCCGCUCACCACCGCCUCAGCAUCCCGCCCGCACCGGACCGCGAUCACCCUCGCCCGCCACUGCAGAUCGCGACUCCAAUACCACCGGAGCCCGAGCGCCGCCUCGCCGCUGACGACCAGCAGUCCCGGCGCUGUUCAGCCCUCGCCGGAGUCCGAACUCACGCCGGCCGACCACCUUCCUCCCCCCGGCGUCAACCCCCCUGUCUCUGUUACUCACCUUAGGUAGCUUUUCAUUAUUAUUAUUAUUAUUA
rnacentral:lncRNA from 1 species